UGGGGAAUUUUGCGCAAUGGGCGAAAGCCUGAACUAGCAACACCGCGUGUGCGAAGAAGGCCUUCGGGUUGUAAAGCACUUUUUGAGAGGAUGAGGAAGGACGGUACUCUCAGAAUAAGUCUCGGCUAACUACGUGCCAGCAGCCGCGGUAACACGUAGGAGGCAAACGUUAUCCGGAUUUACUGGGCGUAAAGCGCGUGUAGGUGGUUUGGUAAGUAGAGCGUGAAAGCUCCUGGCUCAACUGGGAGAGGUCGUUCUAAACUGCCGGACUAGAGGAUGGUAGAGGGAGGUGGAAUUCCUAGUGUAGCGGUGAAAUGCGUAGAUAUUAGGAGGAACACCAAUUGCGUAGGCAGCUUACUGAGCCGACACUGACGCUGAGGCACGAAAGCGUGGGGAGCGAACA
rnacentral:rRNA from 1 species